rnacentral:tRNA from 1 species
CGUAGCUUAAAUCCCCAAAGCAAGACACUGAAAAUGCCUAGAUGGAUUCACACAUCCCAUAGACA